rnacentral:misc_RNA from 1 species
AAUCCUCAACCCUUCUCCCUUUCUUCUUUGAUCGGGGGUAAAGGGCUUGGACUUUGGAGGUUCUCUGCUGGCCUUUCCUUCAAAAGGCCUAGCUCCUCUUAAAUGAAUUAGCGGGGUCCCUUCUGUCGAUCCUUGAUGUGAUAAGGUUUCUCCUACAUCCGGGAUUUUGGCAUCUUAGGCCCGCUUCUAAUCGAAUGAAACCC